rnacentral:rRNA from 1 species
GACGAACGCUGGCGGCGUGCCUAACACAUGCAAGUCGAACGGAAAGGCCCUGCUUUUGUGGGGUUCUCGAGUGGCGAACGGGUGUGUAACACGUGAGUAUCCUGCCCUUGACUUUGGGAUAACUUCAGGAAACUGCGGCUAAUACCGGAUAGGAGCUCCUGCUGCAUGGUGGGGGUUGGAAAGUUUCGGCGGUUGGGGAUGGACUCGCGGCUUAUCAGCUUGUUGGUGGGGUAGUGGCUUACCAAGGCUUCGACGGGUAGCCGGCCUGAGAGGGUGACCGGCCACAUUGGGACUGAGAGACGGCCCAGACUCCUACGGGAGGCAGCAGUGGGGAAUAUUGCACAAUGGGCGGAAGCCUGAUGCAGAAACGCCGCGUGCGGGAUGACGGCCUACGGGGUGUGAACCGCUUUCGCCUGUGACGAAGCGUGAGUGACGGUAAUGGGUAAAGAAGCAACGGCUAACUACGUG